rnacentral:rRNA from 1 species
CAGUCGCCGCGGUAAUACGUAGGUGGCAAGCGUUGUCCGGAAUUAUUGGGCGUAAAGCGCGCGCAGGCGGAUAGGUCAGUCUGUCUUAAAAGUUCGGGGCUUAACCCCGUGAUGGGAUGGAAACUGCCAAUCUAGAGUAUCGGAGAGGAAAGUGGAAUUCCUAGUGUAGCGGUGAAAUGCGUAGAUAUUAGGAAGAACACCAGUGGCGAAGGCGACUUUCUGGACGAAAACUGACGCUGAGGCGCGAAAGCCAGGGGAGCGAACGGGAUUAGAUACCCGUGUAGUCCCUGUCUCUUAUACA